ACAAGAUGCUACCACUUUUAUAACACUCGAGUUUUGAAACCAGAAAUAAAGCAUCUAAGGGGGGUCAUCAGGUGAAUAAAUAAAUUUGUAGCAGAAGAUAGUUCAGUUCAGUUCAGAUCAGAUCACAGAAACAAACAUGCAGCAACAACUCAUGCAGCAACAACACACAGGUGCGAUCAACACCACAAGUGUGACUACUGAUCACAUCCAACAGAGGCUUCAGAAGGAAGCAUGGAGGAGAAGAUUGUGGGUCUAAGUACUAAAAAGUGAAGGAGCGUGUUUUUUUAAAUAGGAUCCGAAAAAAGUUGUCGGGUCAAAUAGCUUCAAUCGGGGCUUCACUGUUGAAGAAAACAACCCACCAGUUUCCCGCCAAAACUGAACAUAAGAGGCCCUCAUCUAGUGACACGUGGCCCAAAUUUCUUUCAUUUGUUUUGUCCUGUUCAAUGUAAUCUUUGUCAAGGUAAUGGAUGUCACCUUGAAAUGCGCUCCAUGUGUAUUCAAAUUUAUCAAGUAGAAUUGAAGAUUAAAAUUAUUUGGUA